CCUACGGGUGGCAGCAGUGGGGGAUAUUGGACAAUGGGGGAAACCCUGAUCCAGCGACGCCGCGUGAGUGAAGAAGUAUUUCGGUAUGUAAAGCUCUGUCAGCAGGGAAGAAAGAAAUGACGGUACCUGACCAAGAAGCCCCGGCUAACUACGUGCCAGCAGCCGCGGUAAUACGGAAGGUCCGGGCGUUCUCCGGAUUUAUUGGGUUUAAAGGGAGCGUAGGCCGGCUUUUAAGUCAGCUGUGAAAGUCCGCGGCUCAACCGUGGAAUUGCCGUUGAAACUGGGGGCCUUGAGUGCACAAAGGGAAGGCGGAAUGCAUGGUGUAGCGGUGAAAUGCUUAGAUAUCAUGAAGAACUCCGAUCGCGAAGGCAAGUGUCCGGGGUGCAACUGACGCUGAGGCUCGAAAGUGCGGGUAUCAAACAGGAUUAGAUACCCUGGUAGUC
rnacentral:rRNA from 1 species